rnacentral:pre_miRNA from 1 species
CAGUUACAUGCCCGAUCAUCAGUGAUAGAAUUAAACACUGAUGCGGUUAUUUAAUUGAU